GCAAUGCAAAUCCUCCACGAUAGUCCACAGGAUGUACUGGGAGAAACUGGAAGGCCACAGGAGAAACGUUUGCUCACGAAAACACAGGCAUUUCAUGUGCCUGGAGCACGGGAUGAAGAAUUCCUUAGACUUUGAGUGCCAAGCUAGUGCUUGGACUUUCUUCUAAAGGUCAUGGGUGAGCCCUUGGGGAAUGUGGAGACCACUCCGGCCUGCGAUGGAGAAGGAAAUUGUGCCAGAAGCUGGGAAGUCAAAGUUAACCCUCCAGGCUAGAUCUAGGGAAAGACUUGUCAGCUGUUUCUUCACUUCCAUGACCUUGGAAAAUCCGCUGUCUCCACCAGACACUGAUCCUUGGCACAGCCACUAUUUGAUACACUUAACUCUGCUCAGGAUUUUAGAUCUCAACCCAGGAAAUGAGCUACAGUCUCACCCCAGUGCUUGAAAUAGGUGUGCAAACAAUUCACAUAUUAUAAAUACGUUGACUUGGGCCGGGUGUGGUGGCUCACGCCUGU
rnacentral:lncRNA from 10 species